GAUGAACGCUGGCGGCGUGCCUAAUACAUGCAAGUCGAGCGAACAGACGAGGAGCUUGCUCCUCUGACGUUAGCGGCGGACGGGUGAGUAACACGUGGAUAACCUACCUAUAAGACUGGGAUAACUUCGGGAAACCGGAGCUAAUACCGGAUAAUAUAUUGAACCGCAUGGUUCAAUAGUGAAAGACGGUUUUGCCGUCACUUAUAGAUGGAUCCGCGCCGCAUUAGCUAGUUGGUAAGGUAACGGCUUACCAAGGCAACGAUGCGUGGCCGACCUGAGAGGGUGAUCGGCCACACUGGAACUGAGACACGGUCCAGACUCCUACGGGAGGCAGCAGUAGGGAAUCUUCCGCAAUGGGCGAAAGCCUGACGGAGCAACGCCGCGUGAGUGAUGAAGGUCUUCGGAUCGUAAAACUCUGUUAUUAGGGAAGAACAAAUGUGUAAGUAACUAUGCACGUCUUGACGGUACCUAAUCAGAAAGCCACGGCUAACUACGUG
rnacentral:rRNA from 1 species